AGUAGCGCAGCGAGAAGGAUCGCCAUCACACGGCGCACUGGUGCGGCUUCUCCCCCGAGUGGAUGAACAUGUGCUUGGUGUCGUUUUUCCUUGAGCUGAACGUCUUGCAACAGUGGCCGCACGCAUAGGGCUGACCCCACAUUGGACACCGCUGCAUCCAUGUCCAUCACACAACACAGCUGCCGUUUCUUCUGCCUGCUUAUGGGAAAGUCCCCUCUUCUCCUCCGUUUUCUUCUCUUCCUGCCCUAUCACACCGUGCACUUCUCCCUUUCCUUAAAGAACCACCAUCAACUUUAGGAGGAGGGAAAGGGGUGGCUCUGGCAGGAAAAGCCAGAAUCCCCUCUAGCCAGCAGAGAGAGAGAGGAAUGGCUGCAUGUUUUCUCCCCCAGUCCAAGGCACUGGGUCUUGGCUGGGUUGAAGGUUCCAAGCUGCUCUCCUGCUGUGUCGGUGAGUUCUGGUCAACCUGCAACCUCCUGAUAUGGCCAUUGCAGUUCAUCGAGUCUUCAGGGACUCCCCAUGGCCUGGAGUACUUUGCCUUGCUUACACGGGAGAGGAGAAUGGAUUUAUAGAGAACAUCAUCUAAAUCCAACUUGACCAUUGUGUGGCCACACUUGCUAGAUUGCUAUAGUCUAAAUCUAGCAUUGUAGAAAGACGGGGGAGCUUGGAGCUGCACAAACCCAGGUCUGGAACUGGCUCCUUACCUUGGAAGGUGAAUGAUCCUGCCAGGACUCUUAGCCUCCCUGGGUCUCAAUUUCUUUAUCUGUUUCAUGGGAAUGAGGAUCUCUGCUGGGUGGUUGGGUGAUGUGGGGGCUGUGUGAAAACAGCUUGUCAAUACAAGCCAAAAUAGAAAUAUUUCUCCACAGAGUAUGAAGGUCAAAUGAGAGAAUACAUUUAAAUUAAAUGGAAAAUUAAAAUGGUAAAAAAUGCAAAGCUGUAUUGAAAGUUCCGAGCUUCUCUAUAAGGAGCUUUUUGACUAUGGAAGAAUCCUGUACUCGUUCCCCCUAAAUAUAAAAAAAAAGUUGAAGGAGGCAGAAGGGAGAGUGAUGCACGAUGGGCAAGGACUUCACCUGCUGUUGCUGGCUUUGAGGAUGGAGGAAGGAGGCCACAAACCUAGAAGCUGGAGCCCCUAGAAGCUAGAAAAGGCAGGGACCCGAUUCUUUCCUUGAGCCUCCAGAAGGGACACAGCCCCGCCAGCACCUUGACUUUAGCCUGGUGAGAUCCUCUUAGGACUUUUGGCAAUCAGAACUAUAAGACAGAAAUGGAAGCCACUGAGUCUGUAGCUGUUUGUUGCAGCAGCAAUAGAAAACUAAUGCAGGGCCCAAGAAAUCACUGGUGAUGAGAUCGGGAAAGUGGGCUCAGGAGGUCUGGAUCUGUGAUGAGAUGGGGAAAGUGGGCUCAAGAGGUCUGGAUCUGUGGUGAGAUGGGGGAAGUGGGCUCAGGAGGUCUGGAUCUGUGAUGAGAUGGGGAAAGUGGGCUCAGGAGGUCUGGAUCUGUGAUGAGAUGGGGAAAGUGGGCUCAGGAGGUCUGGAUCUGUGAUGAGAUGGGGGAAGUGGGCUCAGGAGGUCUGGAUCUGUGAUGAGAUGGGGGAAGUGGGCUCAGGAGGUCUGGAUCUGUGAUGAGAUGGGGGAAGUGGGCUCAGGAGGUCUGGAUCUGUGAUGAGAUGGGGAAAGUGGGCUCAGGAGGUCUGGAUCUGUG
rnacentral:lncRNA from 1 species